rnacentral:rRNA from 1 species
GACGAACGCUGGCGGCGUGCUUAACACAUGCAAGUCGAGCGGUAAGGCCCUUUCGGGGGUACACGAGCGGCGAACGGGUGAGUAACACGUGGGUGACCUGCCCUCAGCUCUGGGAUAAGCCUGGGAAACCGGGUCUAAUACUGGAUAUGACUCCAUGACGCAUGUUGUGGGGUGGAAAGCCUUGUGCGGCUGAGGAUGGGCCCGCGGCCUAUCAGCUUGUUGGUGGGGUGAUGGCCUACCAAGGCGACGACGGGUAGCCGGCCUGAGAGGGCGACCGGCCACACUGGGACUGAGACACGGCCCAGACUCCUACGGGAGGCAGCGGUGGGAGUCUUGUCGCAAUGGGCGGAAAGACCUCGACGCAGCGACGCCGCGUGAGGGAUGACGGCC